rnacentral:rRNA from 1 species
UACGUAGGCAGCAAGCGUUGUCCGGAAUUAUUGGGCGUAAAGAGCGUGUAGGCGGUCCGGUAAGUCAGCUGUGAAAGUCAAGGGCUCAACCCUUGAAAGCCGGUUGAUACUGUCGGGCUAGAGUCCGGAAGAGGCGAGUGGAAUUCCCGGUGUAGCGGUGAAAUGCGCAGAUAUCGGGAGGAACACCAAUGGCGAAGGCAGCUCGCUGGGACGGUACUGACGCUGAGACGCGAAAGCGUGGGGAGCAAACAGG